rnacentral:rRNA from 1 species
UACGUAGGGACCAAGCGUUGUCCGGAAUCAUUGGGCGUAAAGAGCGUGUAGGCGGCUUGUUAAGUCUUGCGUGAAAUCUCGGGGCUCAACCCCGAGCGGUCGUGAGAAACUGGCAGGCUAGAGUGCGGGAGAGGAGAGUGGAAUUCCUGGUGUAGCGGUGAAAUGCGUAGAUAUCGGGAGGAACACCUGUGGCGAAAGCGGCUCACUGGACCACAACUGACGCUGAGGCGCGAAAGCUAGGGGAGCAAACAGG